rnacentral:tRNA from 1 species
GCCCCUAUCGUCUAGCGGUUAGGACAGCAGCUUUUCAAGCUGCGAACAGGGGUUCGACUCCCCUUGGGGGCACCA